AGGACUUUCCCCUUGUGUCCCCUGUCACUCUGAGUCACCUCCCAUGGCACCUUAACUUCGGAAUCCUGACGCUGCUUGACAAGAAGAAUGGCCCUCAGGUGGAGAAGGAUUUUACCAGAUGCCAAGAGAGGCUGAGGUAUUGCAACCCCCUGGGGAAGAGUAGCAGAGGUGCAGGAGCCAGGAGAGGCCUGCAGGAGCAGCGAGAGCUACGGGGGUCCUGGCAUGGCCCCAGCUGGCAGUGUGAGGCGUGAAUCCCCAGAAUAAGAAGUUUGGACAGAAUCUCGCAGGAAAUGGGGAGCCCUGAAGGCCAGGACAAUGCAUGGAGUCCUGGUCCCUCUGGUCACCAACAGCAGACAGCUUCUCACAAUAUCAUUCAGACUGGCCUCGAACUCUCGGUGAUCUUCCUGCCUCAGCUUCCCGAGUGCUGGGAUUACAGGCGUGCACCAUCACAAGCAAAUAUUUCAGUGGCAUUACCUGAACACUAUUGUGCUCGCAUCUGGAAUUUCUAAUAAAAAUACCAGGCAACCUCGUUAAAAAAAAAAAAAGCACAGUGCUCAUUUGGAGAAAAUCUGGAUCGCACAGAUAAGCGGUUCUAACUGUAGACUUACUCAGGAAGUUUGUUUAAAAAUUCUAAUGUGCCGUCACAACCAAGGCCAGUUAGAGUCCAGCCAACAGGGAGGAGCACGUGGACACCAUUAUUCUUUCAGUGCUCCCAGCUGUGUCCAGGGAGCUCCUCACUGACCUAUGGCAGCACAGAAUAGAGAAUCAUCGGGAGAGAUUUUUAAAGCAUUAAUUCCUGGGGCACCCAGCACAAGGAUUCUGACCCACUUUUCAAGAGGACCUGGGUAUUUCUAGGGAAGAUCACCAGCUAAGUCCACUGCAUAGCCAGGGUUGAAAAUCUUUGGCCAAAAGCUACCUCCUUAAUUAAAUCAGCCCAGGCCAAGGCUGACCUUGGAUCUUGCCUCUCCAAUCCGUGAAGACUUUUUCUGCAGCCAGCAGAGAUAGAGCAAGAUGCAGCUUCACAUUUUUCCGUUCUCAUUUGCAAAUGGGUUAAAAUAGACACCGCCUUAAACUGCUAGCAGUUUGCACUUUCUGCAGAUUUCCUGUGGCCCCGGGACUUUGCGAAAUUACUGCAGGAGACUUCUGUGACUGUCAGAAGAAACACAAAUACCAACAGACAGGCUAGACUCUUUCUAUGGAACCAUUUUCUCCUUUCUUGAGAGGCCAUAGAACUUUCUAGUUUGGUUGCUAUGCCAUCCACCCGUGGUGUAAUUAGCAGAGUGCAUGGUAACAGGCUGGCCUCAAGCAAGCCAGGCUGGUGACCAUCUCCAAAAGUAGUUAGUUGUUGGUGAUAUUAAAAGGAAAAUUCCUUACUACACCUAUUACAUAUACUCGAGUUUAUUUGGGCUAAUAAAAGAAGAAUUUGCAAAAUUGGGCAGCUCCCAGAACCAGAGUGGGUUCUGAGAAUCCCCACUCACAAUGUGCUCACACAGCAUUUACAGAAAACACAAGUGAAGCAACCUCAUGGGCUACAGCCGUCAACCAAUCGGACAUUACAGUUAACUAGUCACUUACAGCUUCACCAGUUAAAUCACCCUGGACCUCCUGCCUCCAACCAACCAAAGCCCUGUGACCACACUAACGCGACACUGGUUUGGUCUCUUGGGCCCAGAGUAGGAACCCAGUUGGGACCCACGGCUUCCCACAAAUUUUAUUCAGCAGUGAGGAAGAAAAAAGAGAAAGACACCUUUGUGAGUGUGCCGCAGGAAUCUAAGGGCACACGGUACAGCAAUUCCAACCAUGCAAGCCUUUGGGGAAGGUAAGCAAUUUGCCAGGAGUCACAAAGGCCGGAUUCAAAGCCAGGUGUCUGUGAGCCCAAAGCUGGUGUCUCCCCUGGGCUGUGUCAGCUCCAUGUUGAAACAGGCCUGCAGUGGCUUCCUGGAAACCUCCCAGGCCAGAGAUUCUUGGAAAUUAGAGUACUGUGUCUUUUAGAAGGGUAAAUACGUGAGUAUUCCUACAGCCACAGACAUGUAACAAUACUGACAGCAAAUGAGACCAAAAGCCCCACAACAGCUUUCUGUCAGUUCUGAAAGCUUAUACUAACAAGUGUAAGAUUUUUAGAGCUUUCAGGGAUUUGGGAAUUGCAGAUAGUUGCAGGUUAUGGGCAGGAGCAUCAAAGGCAAACAUUACACAUGCUAGAAAAAACUCACUGGAAAGAAAAAAGAAAAAAAAGGCUUUGAACAGGGCACGUUAGACACUCUGCAAAGCUCUGUGCAUAUGUGAUCCAAGCACCCGGCGGCGUGUAAAAAGUAAUCCCUAUUCUCAGGAGGCAGAGGCAUGAAUGGGUUAAGUAACAAUAAUAAAAUCCCUUUAUUUAUUCAGUAGCAGUUGAACAUUUCUGGAUCCCCCCUUGUUUAGUGUUACAAUAUUUCUAAGUGCUGGCUGGGAUCCGAAAGUCUUAGCUUUAAAUCUGCCUCCUCUGAGGCUCUGAGUUUAACCACAAGCACUAAAAAAUUCAGCUUGUGACCUCCUCCUAAAAUCUCCAAAAACUACCAUGGAAUGAGAGUGGGGAGAUUGAGGAAGGCUAUUCCUCAGGUCUCUGCACGGCCAU